AUUGAACGCUGGCGGCAUGCCUUACACAUGCAAGUCGAACGGUAACGCGGGGCAACCUGGCGACGAGUGGCGAACGGGUGAGUAAUAUAUCGGAACGUGCCCAGUCGUGGGGGAUAACUGCUCGAAAGAGCAGCUAAUACCGCAUACGACCUGAGGGUGAAAGCGGGGGAUCUUCGGACCUCGCGCGAUUGGAGCGGCCGAUAUCAGAUUAGGUAGUUGGUGGGGUAAAGGCCUACCAAGCCGACGAUCUGUAGCUGGUCUGAGAGGACGACCAGCCACACUGGGACUGAGACACGGCCCAGACUCCUACGGGAGGCAGCAGUGGGGAAUUUUGGACAAUGGGGGCAACCCUGAUCCGGCCAUGCCGCGUGCGGGAAGAAGGCCUUCGGGUUGUAAACCGCUUUUGUCAGGGAAGAAAUCCUUUGGGCUAAUAACUCGGAGGGAUGACGGUACCUGAAGAAUAAGCACCGGCUAACUACGUGCCAGCCGCCGCCGUAA
rnacentral:rRNA from 1 species